UCAGAGAUGGUUGAGUGGACUAAAGCAGCAAAUUACUAAUUUGUACCGAAGGUUCAAAUCCCCCUCUUUCCA